GUGCAGGAUGAUAUAGUAUCUAAUGUCGAGGCAAAACUUGCUGCGUGGACCUUUCUUCCCGAAGAAAAUGGGGAAUCCAUGCAAAUAUUGCACUAU